rnacentral:rRNA from 1 species
GAUGAACGCUAGCGAUAGGCUUAACACAUGCAAGUCGAGGGGCAGCACGGUCUUAGCUUGCUAAGACUGAUGGCGACCGGCGCACGGGUGCGUAACGCGUAUGCAACUUGCCUCACAGAGGGGGAUAACCCGUCGAAAGACGGACUAAUACCGCGUACACUCUAUUUUGGGCAUCCAAGGUAGAGGAAAUGAAAUUCGCUGUGAGAUAGGCAUGCGUCCCAUUAGCUAGUUGGUGAGGUAACGGCUCACCAAGGCGACGAUGGGUAGGGGAACUGAGAGGUUGAACCCCCACACUGGUACUGAGACACGGACCAGACUCCUACGGGAGGCAGCAGUGAGGAAUAUUGGUCAAUGGGCGAGAGCCUGAACCAGCCAAGUCGCGUGAAGGAUGACUGUCUUAUGGAUUGUAAACUUCUUUUGUAGGGGAAUAAAGAGGGGCACGUGUGCCCCAGUGAAUGUACCCUACGAAUAAGCAUCGGCUAACUCCGUG